CUGUAAGCAUCUCCUUUCUGGAUGUCAGAGCCAGAACAGAUUUUGUCCAGGAUAACCUCUCAUUUGGCAUGGAGAAUAAUUUCUGGUCUACCCCAUCAAUCAGCUCUUUCAACAAGAGCUAAUGCAGCCAAAUUGAUAGAAUUUUAGAGUGGUUUGGGUUGGAAGAAACCUUGAAGAUCAUCCAUUUGCAGUGGGCAAGGUUGACACCCACUAGAUCAGGUUGUCCAGGAGACAGUUUAGAAACUUU
rnacentral:lncRNA from 1 species